GGGUCGGUACCCAAGAUGGUCAAAGGGAGCGGUCUGUAAAACCGCUGGCUCAGCCUUCGGGGGUUCAAAUCCCCCCCGACCCACCA
rnacentral:tRNA from 1 species